UGCCUAGUGGUGGGGGAUAACGUUCGAAACGGACGCUAAUACCGCAUACGUCCUACGGGAGAAANCGGGGGGAUCUUCGGACCUCGCGCCAUUAGAUGAGCCUAGGUCGGAUUAGCUAGUUGGUGAGGGUAAUGGCUCACCAAGGCGACGAUCCGUAACUGGUCUGAGAGGAUGAUCAGUCACACUGGAACUGAGACACGGUCCAGACUCCUACGGGAGGCAGCAGUGGGGAAUAUUGGACAAUGGGCGAAAGCCUGAUCCAGCCAUGCCGCGUGUGUGAAGAAGGUCUUCGGAUUGUAAAGCACUUUAAGUUGGGAGGAAGGGUAGUAACCUAAUACGUUGCUACUUUGACGUUACCGACAGAAUAAGCACCGGCUAACUUCGUG
rnacentral:rRNA from 1 species